UUGCGGCUAUAUCAUGUUGAGACAGUGGUUCUCGUACGAGCACCGAGGUUAAGCAACGUCGAACCUGAUCAGUACCUAGAUGGGUGACCAGUUGGGACUACCAGGU